UUGUGUGCUGGCCGACUGCAUUCACAUUCACUUCAGGCCGAAGGGACCAUGCCCCUUUCUAAAACUUGGACCAGUGAGAAAGAAAGAAUGGGAAGCUGUUUGGAUACGUGGACACCUGCAGGGUUUAGCUUCAGAGAUAGGAACAUGGCAUCUCAAGGAAGUUUCCCUUCCCCUCUGGAGAGCAGAAUGCCAGCUCUCAAUGAGUGAUGGGGCAGAGGAUCACAGCCCUAGGGAGACUACAGACCAAGGUUCCCGACUCUCCUCUCCAUCAGGAGCCACCUAGGUCAAGGCCAAAUGGUGCUACUUGGCCUAAUCGAUUAAGGCAUAGGAUACCCCAGAGCCUAUAUUUUUGCCUGAAUUUUCUUGAAGCAAAUAAAGCAAUUAUAUGUAAGCUAGAAAAAUAAAGGUGCCCAUGACCCCCUAGUGCCAAUUGCUUGUUAAAUCCACCAAGUCGUUAGAAGUGUCUCUUAAAGCAGUAAGUGGCUGCGAGUUAGAGAGGUUAUAGGGCCAGCGGUGGCAUUAGGCAUUCUGCACCUGUACCUGACUUCAGGAAACAGGCCCAGCCAAGACACUGACUCAUCCUGCCUGUCAGAGUUACAAUAGGAGCUUGAUCUGCAGUGGUGGGGCAAGCCAGACAGUGCUUCUUCAAAACCAGUUCUGCCCUAGUAACUGUGAAAGAUUAACUGAAGUCAGUGCAGGAAACAGACAGCCACUGUCACCAUUUUAUACACUGAAGAGAGGUGACUAAAAUACAACUGGAAGAGCCACGAGCUUUGGUCCAGAAGAUCCGCAAACACUGUAUUAGGGGCCGGGCAUGUUGUAUAAUGAAAUCUAUUAUAAACAUAAGACUCAGGGCGACUUUUCAUGGACUUAGAGAUCACUCUGCAUAGACUUCCUAAAGAAGUCAUAAAAAUUCCCAGCAAAGAAAAUCCAGCAGUAACAGGUAGACAGUCCUCUCACUUAAAUUCACUUUUGCUCACUCAGCAAUUAUUUACUGCCUUUCCGUAGUAAGGAAAAUGUUCCAAAGAGGAUGAAGAUGGCGGAGGACCAGGGAGGCGGUGACUGCUCUGUGAGAACAGAGCUGUUACUUCAAGAGGGGACUAUUAUUUCCAGAUGAAGAAAGCUGUCUGGUUGAAAGAUGGAUCUCAUGGAGGCAUUUCCUCACCUGAAGCUCUGUGACAACUCUGUGACAACUGAAGCUCUGUGACAACUCCAGUCUGUGUCAAGUUGACACAAAACCAGCCAGUACACUAGGCUUUCUUGAACAUGAGCAGCCUUCAGGACAUGGCACGAGAAGCCACCCAGACUCUCUAGAAAUCCAGGAAUCAUUACUGGGCCUACAGCAUAACUGCCAGCUUGUGAACACUACGCUCAAUUUUGGAGAAGCAUCAAUGUAUCAACAUCGAAGGGAGUGAAGCUACCUUCUCCUUCAUUCUCUGUUCUCUGGCUUUAAAAAUGGUCUAAAGUUCCCAUAAUUCAUCAUCUUUGACCGGGAUCCUGAGCCUCCAGGAUGUCCUUAUCUUCCCAGCAAGAUGACUUGGCUUGC
rnacentral:lncRNA from 1 species